AUUGAACGCUGGCGGCAGGCCUAACACAUGCAAGUCGAGCGGAUGAGAGGAGCUUGCUCCUUGAUUCAGCGGCGGACGGGUGAGUAAUGCCUAGGAAUCUGCCUAGUAGUGGGGGACAACGUUUCGAAAGGAACGCUAAUACCGCAUACGUCCUACGGGAGAAAGUGGGGGAUCUUCGGACCUCACGCUAUUAGAUGAGCCUAGGUCGGAUUAGCUAGUUGGUAGGGUAAAGGCCUACCAAGGCGACGAUCCGUAACUGGUCUGAGAGGAUGAUCAGUCACACUGGAACUGAGACACGGUCCAGACUCCUACGGGAGGCAGCAGUGGGGAAUAUUGGACAAUGGGCGAAAGCCUGAUCCAGCCAUGCCGCGUGUGUGAAGAAGGCCCUCGGGUCGUAAAGCACUUUAAGUUGGGAGGAAGGGCUCAUAGCGAAUACCUGUGAGUUUUGACGUUACCAACAGAAUAAGCACCGGCUAACUUCGUGCCAGCCGCCGCGGUAACAC
rnacentral:rRNA from 1 species